rnacentral:rRNA from 1 species
AUGAGGACAGAGCCAAAGCAUUGGGCUAGGGCUUUUUCCCCACCUGGAGCAAACUGUGAAUCAGUUGACAAUAAUCUCUGUGAGUCAUUUAACAAUGCCAUCAUAGAAUCGAGGUUCUAUCCAAUUAUUACACAACAGGAAAUGAUAAGGAAGAAGAUGCUUGUUAGAGUGCAAGAGCAGAGAGCCAAAGGGGCAAAGUGGAAGGGAAAAAUUUGCCCAAGUAUUUUGAAGAAACUGCAA